CUCUUACCUCAAUUUUUCAUAAAUCUUAAGCCUAAUUGAUGAUCGGACAUCACCACGAGAAUCUAGGGAUGAUUCUCUAAAAGUUUAGCGAAGUGAAUUUCUCGUGGGGUCGUCGUAGGCAUAACCCCAAAAUUAGGAUAAGGGGGUUAUUUAGGGGCUAAUUAUUAUUUAAUUAAUGAAAAUUUAGAAAUUUUAGAAUAUUGGACAUUCUGAGGUUGAACUAGGGUUAUCGAAUACAAGGUUCGGGUAAGCACCACGGGUGUAAUUUCGGGAGCCUACAGGCAUAGUUCAGGAAACCAGGUAAGGGUGUUAAAUACUAGUUUCAAUGUUAAUUUGGAGUAUAUGGAGCCUAGGGAAGGUUAUAUGUGUAGAGACCCAAAUAAUUAUAGUAAUUAAAUAAUAAAAGAAAGGAGAGAAAAGGUUUUUUUUUAAAAGGGAUUUUAGCAGGGUCUUGUCGACGAGAAAAGAAGUGCUCGUCGACAAGCAGGGCUCUUCGGCUUGUCGACAGGAACUCGUGCCUCGUCAAUGAGAAAUUAACAAGAGGAUUGUUUCUAGAACUUGAAACUUGUCGAUGAGGAGAAGGUGUCCAUUGACGAGCUCCCUUCAUUGACUCGUUGACGAGAAAAUGUGGCUCGUUGACGAGGCCACGUGGACAAGCAUUCUAUACAAGGCCAAGAAUCCAUUUUUUCCUGCGAGAAACAUGCAAUCUCUCUCUCUCUCUCUCUCUCUCUUUCUCUUCUUCGUCCCCUCUGCCUUCUCUCUAGGUUUUUGGAUCGGCUCUUCGCUGGCUCGACGAUCUGAAGCCACCACUCUACUCCUAGGAAAUUUCUCUUCAUAUCUGUAGGAGUACAUCAUUAGUUAGGCCAAUUUGGGCACCAUCCCAAAAUUUGGGCGGGAGGUUGAGCUGGGGAACACCACAGGUAUAAUUUUGGAGUAAUUGGUGGGCUUCUCAGUAGGCCAGGAAACCCAAAUAGAAGAGUAGAUAGAGCUCUGCAGCGUUAGAGGUUGACUAUUCUACCCUGUUUGAAGGGUAAGUCAUUAUGCUAGGGUCUGAUGAAUUUUUAGGUUAUGACCCUAGCGCACUUUUUGGUAUUUUUGGGAUGUGUAUAUGUGUAUGGCAGGUUUGGUAGAACUCUCGUAUUAUGUUGGUUGGAUGACUUGAUAUGUAUAUGAUUUUAUGUUUUCCGCUGCUUAGGUAUCAGAGUUGUAUUUCAAGUAUAUUCCUCGUACCCAUGGGUCUAAAUUGAUUAUGUUUUAUCAGCUGAACAGUGUAUCAAAAUUAUUAUAUUAAAUCUUAUUUUUAAAAAAAUUAUGGUAAAA